AUUCCAGCUCCAAUAGCGUAUAUUAAAGUUGUUGCGGUAAAAAAGCUCGUAGUUGGAUUUCUACCGAAGAUAGCCGGUCGGGUCUUCGACCUUGUAUCUGGUUUUGUCUUUGGUAUCCUCAUGGGGAACGUUGCUGCGCUUCACUGCGUGGUGCGGUAUCCAUGACUUUUACUUUGAGGAAAUUAGAGUGUUCACGGCAGGCAAACGCCCUGAAUAUAUUAGCAUGGAAUAAUAACAUAGGAUCUUCGUCCUAUUUUGUUGGUUUCUAGGGCUAAGAUAAUGAUUAAUAGGGAUAAUUGGGGGCAUCUGUAUCAACGCGUCAGAGGUGGAAUUCUUGGAUUGCGUUGCGACAAACUACUGCGAAAGCAUUUGCCAAGGAUGUUUUCAUCG
rnacentral:rRNA from 1 species